rnacentral:rRNA from 1 species
UACGUAGGGUGCAAGCGUUAAUCGGAAUUACUGGGCGUAAGCGUGCGCAGGCGGUUAUGUAAGACAGGUGUGAAAUCCCCGGGCUUAACCUGGGAACUGCAUUUGUGACUGCAUAGCUAGAGUACGGUAGAGGGGGAUGGAAUUCCGCGUGUAGCAGUGAAAUGCGUAGAUAUGCGGAGGAACACCGAUGGCGAAGGCGGGUCUCUGGGCCGAUAUUGACGCUGAGGAGCGAAAGCGU